AGUGAACGCUGGCGGUAGGCCUAACACAUGCAAGUCGAACGGCAGCACAGGAGAGCUUGCUUCCUGGGUGGCGAGUAGCGGACGGGUGAGGAAUACAUCGGAAUCUACUCUGUCGUGGGGGACAACGUAGGGAAACUUACGCUACUACCGCAUACCACCUCUGGGCGAAAGCAGGGGACCCUCGGGCCUUGCGCGAUUGAAUGAGCCGAUGUCGUAUUAGCUAGUUGGCGGGGUAAAGGCCCACCAAGGCGACGAUCCGUAGCUGGUCUGAGAGGAUGAUCAGCCACACUGGAACUGAGACACGGUCCAGACUCCUACGGGAGGCAGCAGUGGGGAAUAUUGGACAAGGGGCGCAAGCCUGAUCCAGCCAUACCGCGUGGGUGAAGAAGGCCUUCGGGUUGUAAAGCCCUUUUGUUGGGAAAGAAAUCCAGCUGGCUAAUACCCGGUUGGGAUGACGGUACCCAAAGAAUAAGCACCGGCUAACUUCGUGCCAGCAGCCGCCGUAA
rnacentral:rRNA from 1 species